rnacentral:lncRNA from 1 species
CAGCUUGGGUAAUCUUGGAAAAGGAUAUAUAAUGUAUGUAUUGGGAAGAGAAGGAGGGUGUGAUGAUACAUGUUAUUUUAAGGGUUGUAUGGGCUCAUUAUCAGUCAAAGUUAGCUACUGUUUUACGAGGCUCAUAGUGUGAUAUCUGCUAAUUUUAGUUUGUCAUGACUCAUAUUGUAGAUUAAAAUCUAAAAGGGGAGGCUGAAUCGUGAUAGUUGUAUUGGUUUGAGGAUAAG